AUCAUAAUAAAGAACGCACACUAGGGCCAUGGGAUAAACAAAAACCCUAAAAAAACAAGUUAACACACCCUUGAAUGGUUCUACCAUGAUUACUAACUUAUGGCUCUAAUACCAGUUGUUAGGAAAAAUCU
rnacentral:pre_miRNA from 1 species